CCGAUGAAAAACACAGUUUCUCUCAAUAAUACAUGAAAGCAAGUUUUCCUAUUUAUACACAGAUUUUCUCAUCUCAAUCAUUAUAUUCCAAUGGAUUUUAAAAAACAAUUUCUACGAUUUGUGGCUAACCCACUUAAACUUUGCCUUGUUUGGUGGAGAUGAAAAAUCCCACUAAAAUAACCAUAUAAAUAAACACUUCCUCCUUCAUAUAAUAGAGCCACAAAACCACUUAUACAAACAUUCUCCCUCAAAAGAAGUCAAAAUACUGAGAAGAUGAGACAAAGAGUAGCGGUUGCCGUAAUCAUCAUGUUGGCGUUGAUGAUUAUGAACACUUUCUUCCUUGUUGAUGGAAGGCAUUUGAAGUUGCAAGACGAAGAGGAAGAGAAGAAUCCUAUUGAGAAUCAAAAGUUAACAGGUAGAAAACAAUAUGAAACAAGUGAAUAUAAUCACCAUGGAUGCUAUAGAAGUGACUAUAAUUGUUGGAGUAAUAAGGAGACGAAGGAAUAAUGGAUUUGGAAAUACGCGAAGGAAUAAUGGAUUUGGAAAUACAAACAUACACACCGAGAGAUAUAUUUGUCUGAGUUUGUGUUUUGUAUAAGAUGAGUAUUCAUUUUUCGAGCUAGGGUCGGCUAGAAAGAUGAUAACAAAAGAAGAUAUUUUGUAUGCAAUAUUAUGUUUGGCUAAAAAUGAUGUAUGAGAGCUAGGAGGCGUACUUAUUUAUGGUAUAAUAUAUAAUGCAUGUGCAUGGAAUUUCAAUAAUCAA